CCUGUCCGUUAUAGUGCAGUCCGCUGGCGCGGUUUUCUUGGCUCGCCUUCUGACGCGGGCCGGGGAGAGUAGUGUUGCCUGGCGAGUGUGGACGCGACGUGUUUCAGAGCGUCGUCGUUUGUGGAGAAUCAGGUCUGGUUUGGUUGCAAAGUAGAUGCAGAAACUGCAGGAAAAGCUAAGCUAUCUUUUUUAGGACCCAUCCUGUGACCAGAUGAGAAGUUCCCUGUUAUGGCCAGUGCCUGAAAUGCUAUCAUUAGAUGCUUUCUUUUUAGUUUAAAGCUUCGUCUCUACGGAAAGAUAGCCCACUAACCUUCAAUUCAGCCGGUGUUUAUUGGUUGCUAAACCUCUAGGGCGCUGGGAAGACACCAAGAUAAGUAUGUUUCCCACCCUCAAGAGGAUGGGGAUCUGGCUGCAAUAAUGACCCCACCCACCGGGCAGGCUGGUCCGGUGCCUCCUCAUUUCCUCAUACACAGUCUUCCUAAAGUUGUACAUUCGGAAAGAUGAGCUGAAUUUCCUGGACUGUUCUGCAGACCAAGUGACUCCACGAGCUGUGCCCUCCCACCGCUCGCCAAGCGUGGAAACAAAACUGAUGGGAACAUCUAAGUAGGAGUUGUUACUUCCCAGCUGAAGCGCCAGAGAACACUUCACAGCAGAGCUUACAGGUCAGCCUGGCCUAGAAGAGUGGUGGUGGUGGGGUGCUUGCAGAGGCGUUCUUCAUGAACAAGCGAAGGAGGAUGUGAGGGCAUUUCAAAGACAAGGACCGGUAAGAGCAAAUAGUGUGAACCAUGCAACAGGUGAAGGGUUGCUUGCAGGCUCCUCAGGGCACCAGCUCCUGUGGUGCACGGUCGUCAGCGGCACCCAGUGGCCAGCAGCCUCCCCUGGCACCUCCUGCUCCCUUGAGUGGUUUGUGCUGAAGUGCCCCUCAUGGGACCCCUCCCCAAGAACAACCUUCCCUGGUGCCCUGGAGAACAGGCUUCGGUGAGUUCCUAAGGGCGGAUUUCCAGCCCGUCCUACCAGCACUGCCCCCCAGCCUCCGAGCCACUGCUGUGCCCUCCUGCAAGGCUCAGGUCUCAGCCCUGAGGGAGCCUCUCCCUUGGAGGCUGUAUCUCAACUCCAAGGCUGUGGCUGUUCCUUUUGUUUGCCAUGCCUGGAUUAGAGUCCUCUUUGCUGCUUACUAGCCAGUAUCUGGUUCCCAUCCACUACUAUGGUUAUGAAAUCUCGGUGUUUGUGUGAACCAACUGCCACCAUCUUGAACAAAUCCCCCCCAUCAUGGCCACUCUCACCAGAAACCUUCCAGAGCACAGUCCCCACCCCAUUCUUCCCUUUUGUUUAACCACACCCGUCCCUAUGCCCUCGAGGCACAAGUCCCUGCUCUCCAGAGGGAUCUGUGACACACACUGAUUUCUUUUUUUUAUUAUGUUCUGUUAGUCACCAUACAGUACUUCAUUAGUUUUGGGUCACACACUGAUUUUUAAGCCCCUCCCCCAGGUGGUCCCCAGGCGUACUCCCAGCUUCUAGGUCUGUAAAGGUGGGUCCUGAGAGAGCUGUGGUUUGGAGAUCUUAUCUGGGGGCAGCCCAGGAAUCGCGUCUUCCCUCAGUCCCCCUAAUAAGCCAUUUCUGGUCAAGCUGGACUUGUCAGCCCUUGGUUUCCGUCUUACAGCUCCUUUGGCCUCUGGAGGUCAUUUUGCACCUAUGCUCCCCUCCAUGGAAGGAUAUUAAACUCUCCCUGUUCAAAUUACUGUAUGGUUUCUUUCUCUCUAUCGGACUCCGACUGAUACAGUAGUGAAAUCCUGUUUUUACAGUGAAAAUCUUUCAAGAACCCUACUACAGGCCUUGUCUGGUAAAGCCAGGUGGAUGGCCCAAGACCCGCCCACUCAGUCUCCCUCUUGUUCCCUGAGGCAGCUUCUUUAAAACGAAACCUCUGCAAACACUUGCCGACCGUUGCUGUGGGCAGUUGGGAGCCGUUUGGAGCUAGAGAAGUGCUUGGGUCAGUUGUGUGUUUUGGGGGAGUAAUUCUGGUGAUAACGAGAUUAGCCUGGAAGGCAGAGAGCUGGUGCGGAGACAUGCCAGUUAGGAGGGUGGUCAAGGAAAAAUAAGGCUUCAGAUUUGAAUUAGAACAGUGACUUUUAGAGUGGAAAAGAGAAAUGCACACAGAAUUAAAAAUUGUUAAAAUUGACAGGCCUGAAACUAACAGUACUUAAUGACUGGGUGCUGGAAAUACGGUACUGGAGGAGUUAAAGACAACACUGUCCUACAAAUUCAGCAACAGGAUUGUUGUAGGAAGAUGUUGGGGUCCAGAGCCAUCAGCCAAGGAAGAAUUCUUGAGAUGUCUUUUGUGCAGAAAGGUGGUUUUUUUUUUUUAAAGAUUUUAUUUAUUUAUUUGACAGAGAGAGACAGC